UCCUGCAUCUGAAAGUGAUCAAGGGCUGCCUGUGCCCUGGUCAUUGGUAGUGCAGGGAGAGGAAUGCUGAAAGUUUUCCCCAUGUUUGGAGGGUCCAGCCGUCCCUUGUGAACCCUGGAGCUUUCCCACA